AGAGUUUGAUCCUGGCUCAGAAUCAACGCUGGCGGCGUGCCUAACACAUGCAAGUCGCACGAGAAAGGGUAGCAAUACCUGAGUACAGUGGCGCACGGGUGAGUAACACGUGAAUUAUCUACCUCCGAGUGGGGAAUAACCUAGAGAAAUCUGGGCUAAUACCGCAUAACACUUACGAGUCAAAGCAGCAAUGCGCUUGGAGAGGAGUUCGCGGCCGAUUAGUUAGUUGGCGGGGUAAUGGCCCACCAAGACGAUGAUCGGUAUCCGGCCUGAGAGGGCGCACGGGCACACUGGAACUGAAACACGGUCCAGACUCCUACGGGAGGCAGCAGUGGGGAAUUUUGCGCAAUGGGGGAAACCCUGACGCAGCAACGCCGCGUGGAGGAUGAAAUCCCUUGGGAUGUAAACUCCUUUCGAUCGGGACGAUUAUGACGGUACCGGAAGAAGAAGCCCCGGCUAACUUCGUGCCAGCAGCCGCGGUAAUACGAGGGGGGCAAGCGUUGUUCGGAAUUAUUGGGCGUAAAGGGCGCGUAGGCGGUUUGACAAGUCUGAUGUGAAAUCUCUGGGCUCAACUCAGAGUCUGCAUCGGAAACUGUCGGGCUUGAGUAUGGGAGAGGUGCGUGGAAUUUCCGGUGUAGCGGUGAAAUGCGUAGAUAUCGGAAGGAACACCUGUGGCGAAAGCGGCGCACUGGACCAUAACUGACGCUGAGGCGCGAAAGCUAGGGGAGCAAACAGGAUUAGAUACCCUGGUAGUCCUAGCCCUAAACGAUGAUUGCUUGGUGUGGCAGGUACCCAAUCCUGCCGUGCCGAAGCUAACGCGAUAAGCAAUCCGCCUGGGGAGUACGGUCGCAAGGCUGAAACUCAAAGGAUUUGACGGGGCCCGCACAAGCGGUGGGAGCAUGUGGUUUAAUUC
rnacentral:rRNA from 1 species